rnacentral:rRNA from 1 species
AUUGAACGCUGGCGGCAGGCCUAACACAUGCAAGUCGAGCGAGCGGCGGACGGGUGAGUAAUGUCUGGGAAACUGCCUGAUGGAGGGGGAUAACUACUGGAAACGGUAGCUAGUACCGCAUACCAUCAGACGUUCCCAUAUGGGUUUAGCUAGUAGGUGGGGUAACGGCUCACCUGGGCGACGAUCCCUAGCUGGUCUGAGAGGAUGACCAGCCAAACUGGAACUGAGAAACGGUCCAGACUCCUACGGGAGGCAGCAGUGGGGAAUAUGGCACAAUGGGCGCAAGCCGGAUGCAGCCAUGCCGCGUGUGUGAAGAAGGCCUUCGGGUUGUAAAGCACUUUCAGCGGGGAGGCGUUACCCGCAGAAGAAGCCACGGCUAACUACGUGCCAGCCGCCGCGGUAAUAC